GGGCCCGUAGCUCAGCAUGGAAGAGCGGCGGCCUUCGGAGCCGUAGUCCCUAGUGGGGCGGAGGUCGCGGGUUCGGGCACAGCCGCCUAGAAAUCCCGCCGGGCCCGCCA
rnacentral:tRNA from 1 species